UACGUAGGGUGCGAGCGUUAAUCGGAAUUACUGGGCGUAAAGCGUGCUCAGGCGGUUUUGUAAGCCAGAUGUGAAAGCCCCGGGCUUAACCUGGGAAUGGCAUUUGGGACUGCAAGGCUUGAGUGCGGCAGAGGAGACUGGAAUUCCUGGUGUAGCAGUGAAAUGCGUAGAUAUCAGGAGGAAUACCGAUGGCGAAGGCAGGUCUCUGGGCUGACACUGACGCUCAUGCACGAAAGCGUGGGGAGCAAACAGG
rnacentral:rRNA from 1 species